CCAGCGGGGACAUCUGGGGAGAUGGCUCUCUCUCAGCUCUGUCCAUGUGGCGAAUGGGAGCCUAGGCCCUUGGGCUCUGUGAUGUACAGUCCCCUUCCACACUGCUGGAGAGCAAGCCGGGCCCCUCAGGUCUGCAACCUGCAUAUUCCUACUGCUUCUCAGAGUCUUUGGACAAUGACUGAGGAGAUAAACCAUGCAGGAGACAGUU
ensembl:snoRNA SNORA73 Small nucleolar RNA SNORA73 family